rnacentral:rRNA from 1 species
UCGGGAAUUUUGGGCAAUGGGCGAAAGCCUGAUCCAACCAUGCCGCGUGAGUGACGAAGGCCUUAGGGUUGUAAAGCUCUUUUGGCGGGGAAGAUAAUGACGGUACCCGCAGAAUAAGCUCCGGCUAACUUCGUGCCAGCAGCCGCGGUAAUACGAAGGGAGCUAGCGUUGUUCGGAAUCACUGGGCGUAAAGCGCACGUAGGUGGGCAGUUAAGUCAGGGGUGAAAGCCCGAGGCUCAACCUCGGAAUUGCCUCUGAUACUGGCUGUCUAGAGUACGGUAGAGGGGGAUGGAAUUCCGCGUGUAGCAGUGAAAUGCGUAGAUAUGCGGAGGAACACCGAUGGCGAAGGCAGCCCCCUGGGCUAACACUGACGCUCAUGCACGAAAGCGUGGGGAGCAAACAGGAUUAGAUACCCCUGUAGUCCCUGAGCGGGCUGGCAAGGCGCAU